AUGAACGCUGGCGGCGUGCUUAACACAUGCAAGUCGAACGAAACACCUUAUUUGAUUUUCUUCGGAACUGAAGAUUUGGUGAUUGAGUGGCGGACGGGUGAGUAACGCGUGGGUAACCUACCCUGUACAGGGGGAUAACAGUCAGAAAUGACUGCUAAUACCGCAUAAGACCACAGCACCGCAUGGUGCAGGGGUAAAAACUCCGGUGGUACAGGAUGGACCCGCGUCUGAUUAGCUGGUUGGUGAGGUAACGGCUCACCAAGGCGACGAUCAGUAGCCGGCUUGAGAGAGUGAACGGCCACAUUGGGACUGAGACACGGCCCAAACUCCUACGGGAGGCAGCAGUGGGGAAUAUUGCACAAUGGGGGGAACCCUGAUGCAGCGACGCCGCGUGAGUGAAGAAGUAUCUCGGUAUGUAAAGCUCUAUCAGCAGGGAAGAAAAUGACGGUACCUGACUAAGAAGCCCCGGCUAACUACGUGCCAGCAGCCGCGGUAAUACGUAGGGGGCAAGCGUUAUCCGGAAUUACUGGGUGUAAAGGGUGCGUAGGUGGUAUGGCAAGUCAGAAGUGAAAACCCAGGGCUUAACUCUGGGACUGCUUUUGAAACUGUCAGACUGGAGUGCAGGAGAGGUAAGCGGAAUUCCUAGUGUAGCGGUGAAAUGCGUAGAUAUUAGGAGGAACACCAGUGGCGAAGGCGGCUUACUGGACGGUAACUGACGUUGAGGCUCGAAAGCGUGGGGAGCAAACAGGAUUAGAUACCCUGGUAGUCCACGCCGUAAACGAUGAGAACUAGGUGUUGGGGGAAUAACUCAGUGCCGCAGUUAACGCAAUAAGUUCUCCGCCUGGGGAGUAUGCACGCAAGUGUGAAACUCAAAGGAAUUGACGGGGGCCCGCACAAGCGGUGGAGUAUGUGGUUUAAUUCGAAGCAACGCGAAGAACCUUACCAGGCCUUGACAUCCCUUGCAGAGGUAUAGAGAUAUAUCCGAGGUUAUCAAGGAGACAGGUGGUGCAUGGUUGUCGUCAGCUCGUGUCGUGAGAUGUUGGGUUAAGUCCCGCAACGAGCGCAACCCCUGUUGCCAGUUGCCAGCAUUAAGUUGGGGACUCUGGCGAGACUGCCGGUGACAAGCCGGAGGAAGGCGGGGAUGACGUCAAAUCAUCAUGCCCCUUAUGACCAGGGCUACACACGUGCUACAAUGGCGUAAACAGAGGGAAGCAGCCUCGUGAGAGUGAGCAAAUCCCAAAAAUAACGUCUCAGUUCGGAUUGUAGUCUGCAACUCGACUACAUGAAGCUGGAAUCGCUAGUAAUCGCGAAUCAGAAUGUCGCGGUGAAUACGUUCCCGGGUCUUGUACACACCGCCCGUCACACCAUGGGAGUCAGUAACGCCCGAAGUCAGUGACCCAACCGUAAGGAGGGAGCUGCCGAAGGCGGGACCGAUAACUGGGGUG
rnacentral:rRNA from 1 species